rnacentral:rRNA from 1 species
UACGUAGGGUGCAAGCGUUGUCCGGAAUUAUUGGGCGUAAAGAGCUCGUAGGCGGUCUGCCGCGUCUGCUGUGAAAACCCGAGGCUCAACCUCGGGCCUGCAGUGGGUACGGGCAGACUAGAGUGCGGUAGGGGAGAUUGGAAUUCCUGGUGUAGCGGUGAAAUGCGCAGAUAUCAGGAGGAACACCGGUGGCGAAGGCGGGUCUCUGGGCCGAUACUGACGCUGAGGAGCGAAAGCGUGGGGAGCGAACAGG